AACGUAGGACACGAGCGUUAUCCGGAGUUACUGGGCGUAAAGGGCGUGCAGGCGGCAUGGUAAGUCUGAUGUGAAAGCUCCCGGCUCAACCGGGAGAGGACAUUGGAGACUGCCAAGCUCGAGGCAGAUAGAGGGAUGUAGAAUUCCGGGUGUAGUGGUGAAAUGCGUAGAGAUCCGGAGGAACACCAGAGGCGAAGGCGGCCUACUGGGCUGCACCUGACGCUGAGCCGCGAAAGCCAGGGGAGCGAACGGG
rnacentral:rRNA from 1 species